UUUUGGAACGUUCUGUAUUCGCGAAAGGAACUAAUUAACUGCAAUUUUUCCCCCCUUUUAUUUUGUUUCUUCUCAGUUUAUGGUGAGUGGCUUGAAGGGGAACUUCCAAGUGGUGCCAUUCCCACCUAUCUGCUGUCCUUGUCCUUCUAGAUGGUAGCUGUCGUGGGUUUGAAAGGUGCUGUCAAAGGAGCCUUGGUGAAUCGCUGCAGGGUUGAAUGACUAAUGAGCAGCGACAUUCUCACAUUGAUGACCAUAAACGUUCAAGAGAGGAAAUAAAUGCAGCAGAAUAAGUUGUCAAGGGACUGAUGAGCAAAUUUUGGAAAGAUAUUUGGCACAAAACAUGAACUUCAAAAGAAAAGAGCUGAGAUACGAAGAAAAGAAACUGUUCCCGCUCGUAAACAGAUCGAGGACAAGGGGACACAGUCUAAGAGUGCUUUGCAAAAGAAGCAAAUGCGAGGAAUACAUAAGGAACAGGGUUAAAAGCCAACUGCAACCCUGGUCUCCAUGUGCUAGUCUGGCAUUAGUCUGUGCUUGAAGGUCACAGCUGAAGAACAUCAAUUGAGCAUCCCUGCGCUCGCAGAUAAAAAAGUCUCUCUGAUUGCUGGAAGCAAGUCACAAGUCAGAAAAGCCAUUGCCAAAAUGCAAACAGGACAACUCCUUUCAGCUAACCUGCAGAACCAAGAAUCUCCAAACCAACUGUUCAACUGCCAAAGUCAGCGCUACCGGAAUCACCCAGCUUAACAGCCGCAAUGUUUCACCAUCCACUCCUCGCGGACAAGCUAAAGACUGAUUUGUAUAUCAUUUUUAACUUUUAUUUCUGGAUCCACUUCGCAUUUCUAAUCUGUUUGUAUGUGUGUUGUGGUUUUAUUAUUUUUUUCUCACCUUUUAGUAGCUAA